GCUCGUCGGGCUCAUAACCCGAAGGUCGCAGGUUCAAGUCCUGCUCCCGCAACCA
rnacentral:tRNA from 1 species